UACAGAGGUGGCAAGCGUUGUUCGGAAUUACUGGGCGUAAAGGGCGCGUAGGCGGCCUACUAAGUCAGACGUGAAAUCCCCCAGGCUUAACUUGGGAACUGCGUCUGAUACUGGAAGGCUUGAGUGCGGGAGAGGGAUGCGGAAUUCCAGGUGUAGCGGUGAAAUGCGUAGAUAUCUGGAGGAACACCGGUGGCGAAGGCGGCAUCCUGGACCACACGUCGACACUGAGGAGCGAAAGCCAGGGGAGCAAACCGGG
rnacentral:rRNA from 1 species